ACUUAAUGUUAUACAGGCCAGGUACAAUGUAAUAGAAGCACUGGGAACAUUUCUUGAAAAAUAAGAGUACAAUUAAUGAGCACGCUUCAUAGAUAGAAUUUUACAAGGUCACACAGUUAAGUUUGCACAUUUAAAAGGAUCUGAAUCAUUUAUAUUAUUAUUGUGAAUUUCUUAUAAAUAAUUCAUUACUCUUAGGAGUCUAGGCAAAGCCAAGCCAUGACAUUAUUUAUACUUGUUCUGAGUUAUUUAAUACAGUGCACGUUUUUAAUGCAAUAAAUAUUUACAGUUAAGAGUAACAAGUACAAUUAUAAUUUACAAAAUAUGAAUCUAAUAUUUAAAACAAAACAGAAAAUGACAUUAAAUAAGUUUGUGCCAGAUAUUUUUACAACUCACUGAAUUGACCAUUUAAACAAAUUUUAUUACCAAAACCCUGUUGACUCAGAUGCAAAAACGUCAUGUUUUAAUCAGUUAAGCCAAAAUUACAGGAAAAAAUUUUUCUUUAAGAAAAUGAGUUUAACUUCCUUAAUGUUGUCAAUAUCAAUAGCUAAAAUUGAAGUAAAGUGAUGAAAAAUCUGGAUUCACUACAGGCCCAAUUAUAUAAUGCAGUCUGAACACUGAAAUCCUGGAUUAUACCAAAAUUUUCAAGCUUGUCUGGGAGUUAAUCAGGUGUUGAAUGUGUGAGGUUUUACUGUCCAUUAAAAUGGUCCUUUUAAAAGACCAUAAAAUUAUGUGCGUCCUUCCAUGGCACUAUAUGGCUCUGGGAAUGAAAUUUAAAUUUGAGGGGAAAAGGAAAAUAAUCUUAUCUUCUAGAACACGAGCUGAGAGACAGCAGAGAGGCAGAGGCAUCUGGGAUUAUAACAGGGCCCUUAAGGUCAGGCACCCAGACACCCAGGUCCACAUCUGAGCCCACGACGUGGUCCCUUAGUCCAGGAGAUAGUUUUGUAUUCAAGGCUAUUCAUGUGGCCGGUGUCUCCAGACUUCAGGAACCAUCCACUGUCAUGUUUUACUCUUUCUUGGGGAAAGUAAGUGGCUCUACCUCUUCCUGACACCUUUUCCUCAACUAACCCUGAUCUGAAGAAGGAUGCCUGGACUGACUACUCUCACUGGGGUGCUCUCUGUGAACAUGGCCCUUCACCAAGGUUUUCUCCUCCUCAGUAAGUCACAGAACCAGGGCCACCAACUGCAACUGAAUUGUGUCUCUGGGGGCAACUGAGCUAACGGACUUCCUUGCCCACUUAUUUUGUGCUGUGCUUCAGCUUCUGUCCUUAACUUACGUGCUUACAAACAUCUUUGGUGCCCUUAUUGUAUAUUACUUGACAUUAUCACUAGUUCAGGCCUUUAGACAAAAUGCAGAGUGGGUCUAUGAGGUUCCAUGAACAAACUUCUCAUGUGGCCUGGAUUUGGGGAGCAACACUGAGCAGUUGAACAGAUGAGGACAUAAGACAGAGGCAGGCCCAGGUUAAUGCUCUGUCAUUCAGUUGUUCCAGGUGGCCCUGGAGCCGUGAAUCAGUCCCCCUGCACCUCGGCUUCAUCUUCUGAAUGUUCUUCAAGGUGCUGGUGAG
rnacentral:lncRNA from 1 species